rnacentral:tRNA from 2 species
GCGCCUGUAGCUUAAUGGAUAGAGCAACUCUCUUCUAAAGAGUAGGUUGCGCGUUCGACUCGCGCCAGGCGCG